AUUGAACGCUGGCGGCAUGCCUUACACAUGCAAGUCGAACGGUAACAGGUCUUCGGAUGCUGACGAGUGGCGAACGGGUGAGUAAUACAUCGGAACGUGCCCGAUCGUGGGGGAUAACGAAGCGAAAGCUUUGCUAAUACCGCAUACGAUCUACGGAUGAAAGCAGGGGACCGCAAGGCCUUGCGCGAACGGAGCGGCCGAUGGCAGAUUAGGUAGGUGGUGGGAUAAAAGCUUACCAAGCCGACGAUCUGUAGCUGGUCUGAGAGGACGACCAGCCACGCUGGGACUGAGACACGGCCCAGACUCCUACGGGAGGCAGCAGUGGGGAAUUUUGGACAAUGGGCGACAGCCUGAUCCAGCCAUGCCGCGUGCAGGAUGAAGGCCUUCGGGUUGUAAACUGCUUUUGUACGGAACGAAAAGACUCUGGUUAAUACCUGGGGUCCAUGACGGUACCGUAAGAAUAAGCACCGGCUAACUACGUGCCAGCCGCCGCCGUAAAAC
rnacentral:rRNA from 1 species